CAGUCGCCGCGGGAAUACGUAGGGUGCAAGCGUUAAUCGGAAUUACUGGGCGUAAAGCGUGCGCAGGCGGUUUUGUAAGACAGAGGUGAAAUCCCCGGGCUCAACCUGGGAACUGCCUUUGUGACUGCAAGGCUAGAGUACGGCAGAGGGGGAUGGAAUUCCGCGUGUAGCAGUGAAAUGCGUAGAUAUGCGGAGGAACACCGAUGGCGAAGGCAAUCCCCUGGGCCUGUACUGACGCUCAUGCACGAAAGCGUGGGGAGCAAACAGGAUUAGAUACCCCCGUAGUCCCUGUCUCUUAUAC
rnacentral:rRNA from 1 species